CGGGGAGCCGGUGGUCCAUCCUUUUGGGGGACCAUUCAGUGUGGUAUCUCUUCCUGUUUUCUCUUCUCGGAUAGAGUCAGUCCACCAAUGAAGGGAUUGCUUUUGUGCAAGAGGGCCUCCAAAGACCCCUAGUAGUUAGCAGAGGAUUCACCAUGGAUGAUCC